rnacentral:rRNA from 1 species
AUUGAACGCUGGCGGCAUGCCUUACACAUGCAAGUCGAACGGCAGCAUGAUCUAGCUUGCUAGAUUGAUGGCGAGUGGCGCACGGGUGAGUAAUACAUCGGAACGUGCCCUGUAGUGGGGGAUAACUAGUCGAAAGAUUAGCUAAUACCGCAUACGACCUGAGGGUGAAAGUGGGGGACCGCAAGGCCUCAUGCUAUAGGAGCGGCCGAUGUCUGAUUAGCUAGUUGGUGAGGUAAAGGCUCACCAAGGCGACGAUCAGUAGCUAGUCUGAGAGGACGAUCAGCCACACUGGGACUGAGACACGGCCCAGACUCCUACGGGAGGCAGCAGUGGGGAAUUUUGGACAAUGGGCGAAAGCCUGAUCCAGCAAUGCCGCGUGUGUGAAGAAGGCCUUCGGGUUGUAAAGCACUUUUGUCCGGAAAGAAAUGGCUCUGGUUAAUACCUGGGGUCGAUGACGGUACCGGAAGAAUAAGGACCGGCUAACUACGUG